GGCGAACCGUUUUUGAACGUGUUUAUUGAAAGCGGUCUAACUAAGGAAUCAUUGAAGCUCCUAAAGCCAAGCCAUUUGGAUACAUUGAUCGACACAUCGCAGUUUGGACCAAGGGUAAUUUUUGAGCAUAAUCUGCUCAAUUGGCAAGCGCAACAGGGAAUAAAAACACAAGCCAUUCACACUGAGGCAUGCGCUUUAUUGGCAAAUGAAUAUCGUGGCGAGGAAUCUUUUGAAGCAAUACUCAGUAAGCCGG